CUCUGUCUCAUCUAUCUUUCUUUUCCUUUCUUUCUCUGUGUCUCAUCUUUCUUUCUUUUCCUUUCUUUCUCUUUAUCUGCCCCUUUCUCUCUCUCUCUCUCUUUCUCUUUUUCUCUUUUUUUCUUUCUUUCUAUUUUUUUUCUUUCCCUCUCUUAGUUAUAAUCAUGAUGCAUGUUUUCCUUUGAGCCUGACAGUUAAAUUAGUUUAAUUUUGGAGUCAGUGUUAAGCCUUUGUGUGACAUAAUAUAUACCUCCUUAUUAACAAAUAUGCAAGCUAUCACUAAAUUUAAACACACAUACACAUACAUACAAACCAACAUGUUAUGCAUUAUACUGGAUGAGUAUACGAACAUACAGAAACACACAAACAUAUAUGCAUAUACUCAUAAGCACAAAUAUAUAAGUAUGUGUGUUUGUAAACUUAACCUAUGUUACUUGUGUUGUGUGUGUGUAACUGUUCAACAUUUGUGAACCAAUAUGUAAAAAAAUAAAACAUAUUAAUAAGGCUAAUUCUUCAAGAUUAUUCCACUUAAGCUGAAGAAUAAUCAUUAAUUAUAACCAAGAUGAUGACCAGAAACAAGGAAACAUCAUCCUCUCUCCCAGCAAACAAACAAAGAAAACCAAAAAGCAUCGAAGAGAAAAAGAAAAGAAAAGAAAACAAUUGAAAGAAAAAUAAAAGAGAGGAUUUGAAAAAAACAAAAAAAAACGAUAAAGCAGGAAUAUAUACAAACAUUUCAAAAACUAAAAUAAUACAAGAAAAUAGACGAACUGGAGACACGCUUGUCAGGUAAAUCCACGCCAGGCUAUGGUGUACGUUCCUGUCCCAUCGUGGUCUGUUCAACGAAGUUCUUCUCUAGUUCUCUCUACUUGUUCACGGAAGAACACUGGAUCCGCCUUGAGUGUGACGUUAGUGUGUGUGCCAAGCGUGCAAACCAACUUUUUUUUUCCUCUUUUAUUGCAAGAGAAUUAAGUCCUAUAAAAGGCUGGAAAAAAAGUUGAAAAGUUCGUCCUCAACCAACGUCAAAACUGAGGCCAAAGUAGCGGUAGUUAUAGUGGAAUAGUAGUAUUCCUUGACCAAAACCUCCAGGGACAGCGCGGAAGGAGGGGGACGCCAAGAGACCAACUGCGACAGAGAAGAAAGAUGGCGAACGAGAGGAACCGAGUCGUAACGAAACCCUUUGAGGAACAACUCCACCGCCUGCUUCCUUUCCCUGCUACUGCUUGUGCUUCUGCUUCGUGGACAAGGUUCUCUCGCGCACUGCCGGACUUGCUGGAAGAAUCCGUUUCUCACAGACAAGAAUGUGUCAUAAACUGUUCCAGAACAUUUCGAUGGAUGGAACAACAAAGUCGGAAUUGGCUACGAAGGGUAAAGAUGUUGCAGAAAAUAAGUCAUAUAGGGUUAGAUGAUAUUGUUAAGGCAUAUUGUUAGUCAUGUCUUCAUGACAAAAGAUUUCGUGACCUCAAGGUUCGGGAUCAAAGUGCAUGUACAUCAUUCGAAGUGGAUGAGAGAGAGAGAGAGAGAGAGAGAGAGAGAGAGAGAGAGAGAGAGAGAGAGAGAGAGAGAGAGAGAGAGAGAGAGAGAGAGAGACAGACAGACAGAUAGACACACAAACACACAGAUAGAUAGACAGACAGACAGACAAACAGAAAGAAAGAAACAGACACAAUGAAACAGACAGAUUGUUACUGAAUAAAUUUUGUAUUUGCACUUUACACAUCAGUAACACCAGCAUCUUCAGUUCUAUACUGUAGGAUAUGUUUGGCAAAUGAAAAAAAAAAAAAGUAUGCAUGGAUGCGUACAAAGUUGUAGUUAAUAAUAAGGAAGAAGAGGGAAAGAGAGUGAUAAAACGAAUAUUAUGUUAAGAAGAGAUCACGGAAGAUGAGAGGGGAAGAGCCAGACACAGAUACAGACACAGACAGACUGGCAAACAAAGGCAAAGAUAGAGAAGGAAAGAAAGAGAGAGAGAGAGAAAGUGAGAGAGAGACGACAGACAGACAGAGAAAAAGAGAGAGACAGAGAAAGAAAGAAAGAGAAAGAGACAGACAGUCAGACAGACAGACUGAGAAAGAAACAGAGAACAGCGAAAGACAGACAGGGAAGUGAGAGGAAAGGAAGAGAAAAGCAAAAUAAAAAGAAGAAUAAGUAAGGAAGGUCAAAGGAGAAAAAAAAUCAAGAGAAGCGGAAAGAGGAAAGAGAAAGCUAAAAAAAAUCAUAAUAAAAGUGAAAAGGUAAAUAAAAGGAGGAAACUGAAGGGAAUAAAAAGAGAGGAAGAGAAAGAGGAUUAGCGAAAGGGGGAAGGGGAAGAAGAGGGAUAACAAAUCAUGGAAGAUAGAUGGAGAAGAGGAAGAUUUUAAGAGGAAAAGAAAGAAAUAAGAAUGGUAAAUGAUGAGGCAAAAUAGGCGAAAUAAAAGAAAGUUUAAACAUAAAAAAGAAUAAUUUGGAUAUAAAGGACAGAGAGAAAGAGAGAGAGAGAGAGAGAGAGAGAGAGAGAGAGAGAGAGAGAGAGAGAGAGAGAGAGAGAGAGA